UGGGGAGUCGUCCAAUGGUAAGACUCAGGAUUCUGGUUCCUGCUAUCGGGGUUCAAAUCCCUGCUCCCCAG
rnacentral:tRNA from 2 species